ACGAUGCGCCAGCUCAACGGAACGAGUGUUUCGGCUCAUCGCUUCACCAGUCACCACCCCGACAGAGACCGCCACCGUCAAGCAUGUUGGGUGCACCGAGUCCGGCAGCAGGCGAAUUCAGACGCCGUCUUGCACGGCUUUAGGGGUGAAGGGCACAAGAGAGGGAAGGAUUCUGGCAGCCCUCUCAGCACCGGGGCAACCCGAAGGAAGCGUGGAAGAGGUGGUGCACCUCAUGACUGAGAAACUUGUGCGCGAGCACCAGCUGCAUGUCUCCCCGUAGAUCCAGGAGGACAUCAUGGCUGAGGCACGUUUGGAGGAAGUGAAGAGCAGCGCAGCAAAGCCUGCAACUCGAAAGGAGCGAAAGAGUUCGUGCAUGAGUCUCGCUCGGCAAGGCGAUCCGACGCCGACAGCGGAGAUGCCAGGUCAGUGCCUGCCCUUCUCAAACGACCUGAGCGGUUCGAGCUGCGCACUUCUGCGCAUGAUGUUCCGCUUCAACAGCCAUGACGCCACCCAAACGCAUAAUUCGUCUGUGGUCGGCCUGUCGCACCGGAGGGCACAGUGGCCCGCCCCGCGGUGGGUGAACUGCCGAAUUUGCUUUUUUUUACUCUUGAGGUUACGCGACCUCCACGUAUCCCUUUAACAGGCUCAGGACACGGCGGCAAGCGGCGGUCGGGUUGGCGACGCGGAGAGCGCUGUCGCCGGGUUUUGCAAGAAAAUCGAGGAUGACGUGUAGCGUGGUGGCGGGUGCAUUCCCGUCUACAACGCCCAAGGGAACGGGACAGAGCGGGUUUGGCGGAUGUGGGCGAGACGGAGAGGCAGCUGAACGCUUUCGCAUCUGGCCCGCUUCACAAAGUAGGUGACCAGAUCACGAAUCUGAAGGGGAAAGUGCGGCAAAACCAACCGCACCACGGCUACAGCAACAGGGGUCAUGGCCGAGGUCGGGGCGGCUACCGAGGUGGACACCGUGGAGGCAGUGCCGAGGAGCAGCAACAUUCCUCAAAAAAACUGAGACAGGGCUGCCUGUCGGGUGGCCCGGAGAAGGACAAGACAAUGAGAUGCUCACAGGGGUGGAAGCUUGUCACGCGGGAAGACGACACACCACGGGGCUGCCUUUUCCUCUGCCAGAGUGCACGCCAAUGCAGCUGUGUUGCGCGUGCCGUCGACUGACCACGCUCACGGACGACCUGACCGGAGGAGGGCUGUACCGCCAAGUCAGCACUGCGGAGAGAAGCGACUGCUGCAUACCCCUGCACACGCGACAUCGCUGGCCAGCCGGUAUCCCCGCAUGGGGGUCGACUCGCCGCAAGGCACGGCAGCGUACUUUUGGCUUCGCCUCCGUCCGUCAUCGUGGGGGCCGGACGUACGCAAGACCUUCUCGAGGAUGGCGGCACAGCGGCCUCUGACCUUCGUCAGGUGCAUGGCGCAACAACGCCUCGGCGCUGACUGCGAGGGUUCUCAUGUUGAUCUAUGUAUUCGCAGACGCAUCAGAUGAAGCGGUACGACGGCCCCCAAGACCGUACCCAUGCCGCUUGCGCCCCGGUCUUCCACAGGGACAUAGCGAAAGGCGGCCUGGGGAGGCGAGACUUCCGUGCACGGCUACGUGGACUCUUCCGUAACUGCAAAACCGAACAGACGCCUCCACAAAGGGCCGGGGGCCGUGUCCUCCCCUUUCCUUAUCAUGUGCGGCCGGUUUGACACCGAGGAGAACGUCCCGCUGGAGUAAUCCGAGGCAACUCAUGGCUGAGCGUCGCGAGGAGGACCUGAAAAGCGUCGACCAAUCGUGUCCCGCUACGCAACGAUGCACAGCGCGCUGAUACCCCCGUGCCGCUGUGUGCUGAUCGGGGGCAACCCAUGAACACCGAGGAAUCACCGGAAUGGUCAGCAGUGCACGGCAGGAUGGCACCAGUUGAUGGGCAGCGAGAUUCCAAAUCCGGCGCCACACGUGCCCGGUGGGUCUGACCUACAGAGGAGGGUCAGGGCCAACCACUUCGUGAGGCCCGUACCCGGUGGCAUCCCGCCUCAGCAGGCAGGAUGGUUUGACGCUGGCGGCACCGACCGAGCCAGCGGACGAGCAAGCAGACCUCGUGCAAGGACCUCGCAGCGGCCAAGAAUAAGACGAGGCGGGCGGGGCGCGCUCAAGGACGUCGACCCGGACCUGAAGCUGGCCCCAGUACGCAAAGCAGUGGCCCACCAUCUGGCGCAGAUCGGGAAGGGGGUCCUAAAGGAGGACAUAAUGCAACCAGCCAGACAUGCAACGAUCGAAACGGUGCGGCGACACCUGGGCUACUCCCAGCAACCUACGUUGGAGGCUGUUUGAGUGCAGCACAACGCCUCAGUCUUCCUCUCCAAGACCCAACGGGGUAGGCCGCACGCUGCCAAACGCUCAUGAAUUCUCGGCAUUGCCGCUAGCGAGUCACCCGAGGGAAUUUGGGUGCUCCGGGGGGCCUGACCGCGGGUCAGGACGCGGGCAUCUCCUCAAGCUGGCCGCCACAGUAGAAAGAUGUGGCGUGGCUAGAUGUUCAGGCAAUCACCCACUUAGCAGUAGCAAUAAGAAAAUCAAAUGAAGGUCCGCGGGAGGCACUCUUGUGUGUAGAGUCUUUUCCCAGCUUCAAGCACCCGCAUGCCCCUCGCUCGAUCCGUUCUGCCGGACUCGAGCCGCGGGAUUUGGAUCUCUCAAUGCGAAGAAAGGUAAGUUCGGGCGAUGCUCAGGCGGCCUGCGCCACGCGCUCGUGCAGGAUGCUCACUCCGUUAUCGUGCUCUGGGUGCCAGAGCACAAAGACAGACGAAGGCUGAUCCCUCAGCCGACACCCGAUGGUCUCAUUCGAAAGGUUUGUGGUACAUCUCGUCUGAACCUCAUGUCUGCCCAUCCGCUGGGGAUUCGACAGGGGCGCAAUCCGUGCUGCAAGUGGGAUUUCGAUGCCUUCUGCGAUGUCACCCCGCUGCGAAGGGAGGCGCACAACAGCUUCGUCUUGCGAGUUUGCAACCAGCUGUGCAGACGUUGCACCUCGUCCACCGAUGCCCGCUCGAGCGUGUCCGCAGCACAGCCCAUCACAAGCAAAGAUUGUGGUCACUGACGCUCCCGCCAGGGCACACGCCAGGAUCCACAGCGUCUUGCUGGGAGCCAGGAUUGGCCAAGGGGGACGGCUUUUUCCGUGCCAUCCGCGCAGUGAUGCAGCAGAUUCAAGUUGCAACCCUACGGAUAUCCCCGACCUUGCGAGGCCCUCUUAGCCACAUCCGAUGAAGAGCUGCUGCAGAUGACGCGCGGCUCCACAACUUUCGUGGGCGAGGAGUAUGAGUGGCACGCCAGCCGCAGACAUGUGCGAAGCGCAGUGGAAUCCGUUGCGAAGUCGAAGCUCGCGCUCCACAAGCAGCAGCGCGCGAGCACGCAAGCUUUCAGUUUUGAUUGCCCUGAUGAUGUGCGUGGUGCGGACGAUGAGGAUGAGCACAGCUGAUACAAAUUUCUUUGUUUUGCGUAGCCGUACACCGACGGUAUAUCAGCCCAGGUGGGCAGGAGGAGGGAAGAGAGCUUGAUAGCCCACUCCCCCUCUUUCACUGCCGAAUCGGAGAAAUCCGCCCUCGCCACACUGGGUCGGCGAUCGCUGGAGAGUCGAUGGUGUUUCAUUGCCCCCCCCCCUCCGUGUGUAGCCGCACCGAUGGAAAAUACCGCGUAUGACCUCAUUGCCUUCACGAGUGCCUCGAGGGAGGGAUGAGAAGGGCGCGGUCCUAUCGUGGCGAAACGGGGUUGCAGAGGCCAUGCCGCACCGCUGGCUCGAUGACCCAGCCCCAGUGAAAGGGUUCCGCUAAAAUUACAAAACUUGAAUCCUCAUUUUGCGGCUAGCCACUUAACGCACAGCGAACCCUCAGCGGUCACCUGAAUCCUACGCGAGCUUCGACGAAAUGGGCUUUCCUCCUGGGAGCCACGGCCACUGUGGUAACCGACUACGGCGCCACCGUGCAAGCCCAAAAAGGAUGCCCGACGGUUUCCGAGGCAUCGGUGGUAGAGGCGUUGCCCUGAGCGGGUUUCUCGAAACGAUGAACGACCUUUUCCACAAUGAGGGGGCAGUCAUUCUGCUUCUCUACAUCAUGGGGCUCUUGGGCUCAGCCGACACACCGUCUCCAGGGCCUUUCCGGUGUAGACGUGGUAAGAGCGAUUCUUCGUUAUCAGACUCGGGGGCUCAUCCCCACUGCCACGCAGCUAUGCCAGACCGCAGCACUUGUGCGAGAACGCGCGGAGGUACCGGCUGUGGUAGAGAGGGGGGCUCAAGGCUGCAGAGCCACAGAAGGCGUGCGUGCAAGGAGAAGUGGCUAUGCGGAAUGUGUGCGAGUACGCCAGGGAGAGCACAAGCGACUCGCGAGAUAAAGCACGACCAGAAGCAGGGAGUGCACGUGUUUCUUCUUUCCGCCAGACUCUGCACCCUUAGGCGAGUGGCGACGCACAGGUGAAUGAUUUCCGUGCGUUCUCCACUUUCCAUUUCCUUCAUUUCUUUUCCUGAUCCCUCCCUUCUCACCCCUGUGCGUGUGUCUGUGCAUCGCGGCGUGCGCGCGUUCCUCUUCCAGGUUAUAUAGCUCUUUAACAUCCUAUGUGGACUCCUUCUUUUUCGUGUGUGCUCUUGUAGUUGUGGCUUUGGCUGCGACGGUCAUUGGUGUGCUUGCGGUAGUCCUUGUGGCUCCUGCCGCGGUGUUGGACAUGGGGCAGAAGGAGCGGUGAGGUGCGUCGGGUGGUGUUGGGCCCCUUCCCACCACCCUCUCCCUUGCGCGGUUCUCUCCCUAACCCUCUUCUGUUCGUUGUUGCAUUUGCUUCUCUACGGACCAUCUUUUUUUGUUUUCGUUUUCGUUUACCCCCUCCCCCCCCCCACACACACACACACGGCUCAUUGGCAGACGGCAUGGGAGUGCCAGUUUGGGGGUUCAUG
rnacentral:misc_RNA from 1 species